CCAUAGUGAAGCAGUGUCCUGGAGACCAAGGCUAAGGGGGAGCUGAAGGAAUUUCAGGAAUAAGGACUUCUUCCAGGUGAAAAGUGCAAGACCCUUGAGCUCCUGUCACCUGUGCUGAACAUGACAGGGGUUAGAGCAAGAGUGACUCCUAUCUCCUUCUUUAUCCUCCUUCUUCACUGUUGGGGAGAUACAAAGCCCCAGCUGUUAAUUAAUGACUCAGUUUCAGAUACUGAAUUUCCAUCCCUUUCACAAAGUCACACCAGAUCAAUGGCUGAAACACUUGAUGCAGCAGACUCUCUUAACGAUUUUUGGAUUAAUCAAAUUUUAAAUACCUUGGAGAAUCUCACAGGGCAAAACGGAAGGUUCCCAAGCAAAUGUUUCUCAAGGUGA
rnacentral:lncRNA from 1 species